GAUUAAGCCAUGCAAGUGGUUAUCAUUUUAACCCGACAGUUUAAAUAAGUGUUUCGCACACACUAUAUUUUCACUCUCUCUCACUACACACAUUACGCAUUAUCCUACGGAUUUUGAGUAUAUACUAUACCAAACUCGACUAUGAAGCCUCUUUUAUUCUAUGCUAUGCAUCUCACACACACACAACGACGGUGUCGCAUGGAGUUUUACGCCAUACGUAGAGUAUAAACACAUACAGUGAGUGAAAUUAAGGACUUCACUUACGCAACUGCAGACAGCUGCUUAAUACAGUUACACUUGUCUUGACUUGGCACCAACCUGGCAUUAUCGAAAGCGUAAAGCGUAUGCAUCACACACACAGCAUGCGGUCGUAUCGCAUAAGAUAUUGUCACGGUAAAACAUAGAUUGCAAACCAAUGAUUUCUCUGUUCCGCUCUUACACACACAUACGAUAUUAUAUUUAGCGUUACACCAUGACACUAGAUUUGAUAUUUUAUAAUGGAUAACUCAGGGAAAGUUUGGCUAAUACGUACGAGACACAAUACACACAUACACGUAAAAUUGCAUAUACGUUACACACAACGCGUAUUAUUGCAUUUUACAUACACAAUUACUCAGCACUCAAUGGUGGUCCAUUCUUCAUUGAAUCCCAGUUGCCUCGUGAGAGACAUUGAGCACGCAUUGUGUGUGACUCACGUCACGCACAUUUCUACGCUGAGCAGACUUUGCAAAGUUUACUUUGCGAAGCAUGUCAUACAAGCAUCUAUAGCAUCAAGUUACGGGUUGGCAAGUGUAUUUUUGAACCUUCAAAGCAGUCACGCAUACGGAGGAGUAGUUUCUGAUCCCAUAGAAGGAGCACAGUACAUUGAGAGACCGCUCUUAGUUCUAAGGAACGCAGCAGGCGCGUAAAUUGCCCAAUGUUAGUACCCAUUCACACCGGAGAAUUCAUCGAAGCACAUUUAUACAACACGGUAUAGUUGUUACACAAAUAUCAAUAACGAUAUUAUGCGAGAGAGACAUUAUCACACACAAACACAUCACCCUUGAUCACAUUACGUACACGACGUAUCAUUGUAUAGAUUCAACCUUCACACACACUGAAUUCUUAUGAUUUUACUGAGGCAGUGACAAGCUGUAACGGUUGAGUAUAAAAAUGACGAGUGUCUGGCAUUGCCGUCUAGGUUCGCUUAGGCUUGGCAUCAUUGCCGACGCUUCGUAUGCUCAAUUGGACUGCGGUGAGUUCAAUACACUCAGUACCAUUUGACGCGGUAGAAUUAAUACCUCUGCUGUGUUAAGUUAUCUGAACCCAUCAAGUAGAGGGCAAGUCUGGUGCCAGCAGCCGCGGUAAUACCAGCUCUACUGGCCUAUACAAUCAUUGUUGCGGUUAAGAGGCUCGUAGUUGGAUUGAACUAUUAUAUACGCGCAGUAUCCAUUUAUACGGUCUCGACGGGACGUUUACAAUAUGUAUCUAAUCAAUACAUAUCUUUUGCGUGUAAGCUUUGUACAAUUAUUCACUCAACCACUCGUGGUUAUGAAUAUGCGUAUGCGUGCACUUGAUUUUAGGAGCUUUGCGCUCAUAUUAUCUUGGUUAGAUGCAAGUAUCACUCGUUCACUGUGUACUGGCGUAUCGAUAUAUUCGUAUAUCCGAUUACUGCUGUAUCACUAUGAACAACAAACAAUGUGAUACGACGCACGCUUUAGGCACGCGCUUACUGCAGAAAUGUCUGAGACAUUCCCCUCCGGGGGUAGUAUGCACGCAAGUGUGAAACUUGAAGGAAUUGACGGAAGGGCACCACAAGAACGCGUGGAGCAUGUGGCUUAAUUUGACUCAACGCAGGAAAUCUUACCGGGUCCGGACACACUGAGGAUUGACAGAUAACAACGAGAGUUUGUCAAUUUAUUGACUUCUCUCGCAAAAAUAUGAUAGCUCUUUCAUAAUUAUGUGAUAGGUGGUGCAUGGCCGUUCUUAGUUCGUGGAGUGAUCUGUCUGCUUAAUUGCGUUUUCAUUAUGGCUGACUAUAGUAUGUGUAUUUAUAUGCUCUCGCGGUAUGUAAAUCACGUCUGUCGGCUUUGAAAUGCAACGAACGUGACCGCAACCUCUUGUUGCACCUUAGCUGCUCAAGGUGCUCAACUAGAGGGACCGCUGUAUUUUUUCUUUUAGCCAGAGGAAGGAUGCGGCAAUAACAGGUCUGUGAUGCCCUCAGAUGUCCCGGGCUGCACACGUGCUACAAUGAUCAUUGCACUGCGCAUCUUCUUUUAUGUUUACACUGUCGUGUGCGAUAAGAUUCGCUUCACAGUGGUCGUAUCAAACACACAGUACACACACCCGUGUCGACAGGCUACUACACUCGGGUAACCCAUUAGAAGUAAUGAUUUCCAUAUGCACACAAUCAUACGUAUGAACGCUGAACACUCCGGUGUCUCAAUGUUCGUACGCAUGUGCGAUUGUCAAUUCAUGGUGGGGACAGACCAUUGAUAAUUGUUGGUCUCGGUCUCAACUAGGAAUGCCUUGUACGAGUCGGUUCACCAAACCACUCGGAAUACGUCCCUGCCCUUUGUACACACCGCCCGUCGCUCUUACCGAUGGACUUCGCUGUGAGUUUGAGGGACUGGCCUAGGCUAUAGAAACUUAAACGAACAGUGUGGUCUAAAGGAAAGAGAAGUCGAACAAGGCA
rnacentral:rRNA from 1 species